GGCUGGUUAGAGCGUCGUGCUAAUAACGCGAAGGUCACAGGUUCGAGACCUGUAUGGGCCA
rfam:Triticum aestivum genome assembly, contig: Triticum_aestivum_CS42_TGACv1_scaffold_591847_7BS